rnacentral:rRNA from 1 species
AUUGAACGCUGGCGGCAGGCUUAACACAUGCAAGUCGAGCGAGCGGCGGACGGGUGAGUAAUGUCUGGGAAACUGCCUGAUGGAGGGGGCUAACUACUGGAAACGGUAUCUAAUCCCCCAUAACAUAAGAUGUGCCCAGAUUGGAUUAGCUAGUAGGUGGGGUAAUGGCUCACCUAGGCUCCGAUCACUAGCUGGCCUGAGAGGAUGACCAGCCACACGGGAAAUGAGACACGGUCCAGACUCCUACGGGAGGCAGCAGUGGGGAAUAUUGCACAAUGGACGCAAGCCUGAUGCAGCCAUGCCGCGGUGGUGAAGAAGGCCUUCGGGUUGUAAAGCACUGUCAGCGAGGAGGCGUUACUCGCAGAAGAAGCACCGGCUAACUCCGUGCCAGCCGCCGCGGUAAUUC